rnacentral:rRNA from 1 species
AACGAACGCUGGCGGCGUGCCUAACACAUGCAAGUCGAACGGAAUUGAGGGGCUUGCUCUUCAAUUUAGUGGCGCACGGGUGAGUAACGCGUGGAUAAUCUGCCUGAGGAUCUGGGAUAACAUCUCGAAAGGGGUGCUAAUACCGGAUAAGCCCACGGGAACUUCGGUUUUUGCGGGAAAAGGGGGGGACCUUUUGGCCUUCUGUUGUCAGAUGAGUCCGCGUACCAUUGGCUAGUUGGUAGGGUAAAGGCCUACCAAGGCUACGCUGGUUAGCUGGUUUGAGAGAAUGACCGGCCACACUGGAACUGAGACACGGUCCAGACUCCUACGGGAGGCAGCAGUGGGGAAUUUUGCGCAAUGGGCGAAAGCCUGACGCAGCAACGCCGCGUGAGUGAUGAAGGCUUUCGGGUCGUAAAGCUCUGUCAGAGGGAAAGAAGUGUAUUGUGGCUAAUAUCCGCGAUACUUGACGGUACCCUCAAAGGAAGCACCGGCUAACUCCGUGCCAGCCGCCGCAGUAA